UAAGGAAUAUUGGACAAUGGAGGCAACUCUGAUCCAGCCAUGCCGCGUGAAGGAAUAAGGCCCUAUGGGUUGUAAACUUCUUUUAGACGGGACAAAACCCCUUUACGUGUAAAGGGUUGAUGGUACUGUCAGAAUAAGCAUCGGCUAACUUCGUGCCAGCAGCCGCGGUAAUACGAAGGAUGCAAGCGUUAUCCGGAAUUAUUGGGUUUAAAGGGUGCGUAGGCGGACUAAUAAGUCAGUGGUGAAUGCCUGCAGCUUGACUGCAGAAUUGCCAUUGAUACUGUUAGUCUUGAGUACAGUUGAGGUAGGCGGAAUGUGUCAUGUAGCGGUGAAAUGCUUAGAUAUGACACAGAACACCGAUUGCGAAGGCAGCUUGCUAAGCUGUAACUGACGCUGAGGCGCGAAAGCGUGGGGAGCAAACA
rnacentral:rRNA from 1 species